GUGCAUGUUUUUUUGCAAAGAAAUAUUUUGCACCAUCUGUGAAUGUGGGGAGGAAUUCCAAAGAGCGGUAUCAGAAAAUUGUUGAACCAGAUGCUGCAUUAAACAUAGACCUGCACGGCCAUAUUGUCUUAGAGCAUAAGAAUAAGCAACAUGAGGCAUCAAACCUGGAAUCGACUGAGGAGCCACCAAUGGAGAGUGGCCUGCGAGAUCUCCAAACAGUGGAAGCAAACAAAUCAUGCUGGGGACGACAUCUACAUCCCACACAAAGAGAUUUGCUUUCACAAGUUUUAGACAAAACCAGGAAUCCUGGUGAACAUCGUGCACGUCAGCAACAAGGUCCUCACACGGUAUGAUCGCUGCACCUUGGCACUACAAGAGGACGUUGAUGGAAUGGAUCAUGAUCUCGGUGGGCUGGAAGGAUGUGCUGGGCCAUGUUCCUGCAUGUCUGUUCUGCUGACGUACGAGGUGACAUCAACACGCAGCCGCUGGGAGAAGCUCCAUCCUCUGGAAAGUUGCCACCUACAAGGCAAAGGAAGAGGAGAACAGGGAACCCUGAAAGGAAUGGAAUCAGUGAGAGAUAGAGAGAGAGUGAGAACAGAAUCAUUUAUGCGUGAAUGAGGCAUUAGUCCAACAAUGUACUGCUGUGCAGGAAAAAUAACAGCUAACAGAUCGACUGUCCUGAUGUCUGAGUGACAGAUUGUGAGUGUGUGUGACUGAAGGCACUUUGUUAAAAAGCAGAAAGCACCGCUGUACAAAGUCAGCAGUGUGACAGCACAUGUACACAAUGUGUGUGUGUUAGAGGAUUGUUUUGGCAGCUACAACACAAAGUGCCGACACAUGUAUAUCUUUAUGGUACUGUAUAGGUGAGAGGAAAGACGGUGGUUGUGUGACAGACAGCAUCCAUCAGUGUGUGCUUAUAGCUAUGGGCAGAUUACAUGGAAAAGGUAAAACAGCAUGUUCUGGGAGCCCAGGACAACAGCAGCACAGGGAACCAAAAAUAGCCAUAGAGACACUGUUACACAUGCAUGGGCCCCCA